UUUGCCCACCCUGAGCUAGGCUGUUCUUAGUAGUGGUAAAUGACAGAACAAGGAGCAAUGGUCUCAAAUUGCAGUGGAGGAGGUUUCGGUUGG